rnacentral:rRNA from 1 species
GGCGAGGCCGAAAGGCGUAGUCGAUGGGAAACGGGUUAAUAUUCCCGUACUUCUUACAAUUGCGAUGGGGGGACGGAGAAGGCUAGGUGGGCCUGGCGACGGUUGUCCAGGUUCAAGUGCGUAGGCUUAAGAGUUAGGUAAAUCCGGCUCUUUUUAAGGCUGAGACACGACGUCGAGCACCUACGGGUGUGAAGUCAUUGAUGCCAUGCUUCCAGGAAAAGCCUCUAAGCUUCAGAUUGUAAGGAAUCGUACCCCAAACCGACACAGGUGGUCGGGUAGAGAAUACCAAGGCGCUUGAGAGAACUCGGGUGAAGG